AGAGUUUGAUCAUGGCUCAGAUUGAACGCUGGCGGCAGGCUUAACACAUGCAAGUCGAGCGGUAACAGGAGAAGCUUGCUUCUCGCUGACGAGCGGCGGACGGGUGAGUAAUACUUAGGAAUCUACCUAGUAGUGGGGGAUAGCACGGGGAAACUCGUAUUAAUACCGCAUACGACCUACGGGAGAAAGGGGGCAGUUUACUGCUCUCGCUAUUAGAUGAGCCUAAGUCGGAUUAGCUAGAUGGUGGGGUAAAGGCCUACCAUGGCGACGAUCUGUAGCUGGUCUGAGAGGAUGAUCAGCCACACCGGGACUGAGACACGGCCCGGACUCCUACGGGAGGCAGCAGUGGGGAAUAUUGGACAAUGGGGGAAACCCUGAUCCAGCCAUGCCGCGUGUGUGAAGAAGGCCUUUUGGUUGUAAAGCACUUUAAGCAGUGAAGAAGACUCCAUGGUUAAUACCCAUGGACGAUGACAUUAGCUGCAGAAUAAGCACCGGCUAACUCUGUGCCAGCAGCCGCGGUAAUACAGAGGGUGCAAGCGUUAAUCGGAAUUACUGGGCGUAAAGGGAGCGUAGGUGGCUCUAUAAGUCAGAUGUGAAAUCCCCGGGCUUAACCUGGGAACUGCAUCCGAAACUGUAGAGCUAGAGUAUGUGAGAGGAAGGUAGAAUUCCAGGUGUAGCGGUGAAAUGCGUAGAGAUCUGGAGGAAUACCGAUGGCGAAGGCAGCCUUCUGGCAUAAUACUGACACUGAGGCUCGAAAGCGUGGGUAGCAAACAGGAUUAGAUACCCUGGUAGUCCACGCCGUAAACGAUGUCUACUAGUCGUUGGGUCCCUUGAGGACUUAGUGACGCAGCUAACGCAAUAAGUAGACCGCCUGGGGAGUACGGCCGCAAGGUUAAAACUCAAAUGAAUUGACGGGGGCCCGCACAAGCGG
rnacentral:rRNA from 1 species